rnacentral:rRNA from 1 species
AGAUGAACAGGCCUCUGGUGUAUCAGUUGUCCUGCCAAGGGCACUGCUGAUUAGCCACGCCUGGAUGGGAUAACCGCUGAAAGCAUCUAAGCGGGAAGCCCACCUCGAGAUGAGGCUCCCCAUCACCUUCGAGUGAGUAAGGGCCGUGGUAGACGACCACGUCGAUAGGCGGGCGGUGCAAGCGCGGCAACGCGUUCAGCUGACCCGUACUAAUUGCCCGAGGUCUUGAUUUA